ACCAUAUAAUUGACAAUGUUGUUUAAAUUCCAUACCCAACUUUUCUGUGCGACGGCGUAGUGUAAACUUCAGGGUAGCUACAGUAUACACAUUUCUGAUUUCACUUCUGGAAGUGGAUAUUUUUUACAGCUGAAGUCAAGUAUAAAAAUAUUUCUAUAAUAUUUCUUUAGAUUCUGCCACAUUAUUUUUGUAUGGCAUUAAACGAUUAUUGAUUUGAUGAGGAAAUGUGUUUUGAUGUCUGUGUGCUUGUUCAUGAGUUUUAUCUGCACAAUAUGAUUGCAGUUGCUGUAUGGAGAAGACUCCUCUCUUGCUGAUGUUUUUGGACACCUAGAACGGAACAGGAAUCAACUGGGGAUAGCAGAAUACAGCUUAAGCCAAUCAACACUAGAAACUAUUUUUAACCAUUUUGCUGCAAACCCAUAGUUAUUUUUAUUUUGUCGCCAUAAUACUUUUGUUAAUGUUCAACAGAGAGGAAUGGGUCCCCAAGUUAUUGUCAGGUGGAUCAGUCUCUCUUAUAGUAAAAGAAUCAAGAUGUAUAGGAAGGAAAAA